GUUCAUCUCAAUAACUGCCGGUAAACCUGUCAUGGCCCUGAUCCAACCAGUUCCCAUCACCAUGACUGUCUGGGUGCGCCCACAAUGGAGCCCUAUUCCUUAUAUAAGUCACUGUUUCUAGAAGUAGUGCACUAUGUAGGGAAUAGAGUGCCAUGUUGGACAGAGAUUCAGUUUAUUUAACUUGACCCUGUUCCUGCUCCCCACUCACUCCUCACUCUCAGUUAAACAAAUAGAGACGUCCGUUCACUAUCAGUUCAUUGGUAAACACCACCAUGAGUGUCCUCAGCUACGUGUCCAGAAAUACAUAUUCAGAACUUUGUUAUUCCUCCUCCUCAGACCCCUCCCCUUAUUCUGGACCACACCUUGGUCUGAACUGGUUAUGAUCAUGUGUGUCGUCCCAGUGAUUGAGAAGUGAACAGGAGUUUUUUUUAACCCAAAGAUCCUGAUGAAAUUCAUUAAGUGGGAAGCAACCGAGGAGGAGGAGGAGUGAGGAGGAGGAGUGAGGCUUGACUAGUUUAGUGUUGCAACAUGACUAGGGGGAUGGGUGAAUUCUGAAUCAGUGUGUAUAUAAGGGUAAGCAAUAUUCAGACCUCCAGUUCCAUUAUCAAGCUGUGAUUGUGAUAUGAAGAUGCAGAAGUCUGUCUCUGUUGUUCCUCUGUUGUUGCUCCUCUGUCUGUCUGUGGUAGGGGUCACCAAAGGUCAAGGGGUAGAGGUCACCAAAGCUGUAGAGUUCAAGACGGAAAACGAGGUGGUCACAACACCAGCAGAUGGAAAGACAGAUGGACGGACAGACUCUGAGCCGGACCUCUGGGCUGAGCUGAGAGCGCUGAGAGACAUGGUGGUGGAACAGAGAGUGGAACUGGCUGUCACUCAAAGUCAACUGGAGGAUAUGAAGACACAGAAUUCAGAGAUGCAGUUCAGGCUGAGAACUGCAGAGAACCAGGUGAAGCUACUGAAGGCUGAGAUUCAAGGUAAAACAAGAGACUUUGGUGAAUCUGUGAUUUGGGUAAUAUAUUUGAACCAAUAUUAUGUAUUUAUUUAUUGGUCAUUCCGUAUGAUUUCAAUCACAUUCUGAUUGCACCCCCUUUGAUUUGAACAAACAUUCCAUGUUUGCCCAUGGUGGAAGUGGUCAGAAAGGGACACGUUGAACCUGAAUGCCAAAACAUUCAGGUCAUAGAGGUGUUCCAAGUUGACCCAUGUUGCAUACCCCACCCUACCAUGAGACUUCCAUGUCUUCAUCACUGAAAAACAAUCAUGGAGGACUUUGAAAUAAUUUGAAAGCUGACAAACAGGGUUGUUAAACUAUUUUAUGAUUUAUUUUAUUUUUAUGUUUAACGUUGAAUUUUAGAGAAGUUAGAGAAUACAGAUAGAGGAGAAGAAGAGAGAACACAGAUAGAGGAGAAGAAGAGAGAGAACACAGAUAGAGGAGAAGAAGAGAGAGAACAGAGGUAGAGGAGAAGAAGAGAGAGAACAGAGGUAGAGCAGAAGAAGAGAGAGAACAGAGGUAGAGGAGAAGAGAGGGGAAACGUAGAGGAGAAGAGAGAGAGAACACAGGUAGAGAUGGAGGAUGAGCUGAAGAGAGAGGAACAGAGAACAGGUAGAGGAGGAGCUGAGGACAGAGAACAGGUAGAGGAGGAGCUGAGGACAGAGAACAGGUAGAGGAGAGGAGGAGCUGAGGACAGAGAACAGGUAAGGAGGAGCUGAGGACAGAGGACAGGUAGAGGAGGAGCUGAGGACAGAGAACAGGUAGAGGAGGAGCUGAGGACAGAGGACAGGUAGAGGAGGAGCUGAGGACAGAGAACAGGUAGAGGAGGAGCUGAGGACAGAGAACAGGUAGAGGUAGAGGAGGAGCUGAGGACAGAGAACAGGUAGAGAAGGAGCUGAGGACAGAGAACAGGUAGAGGUAGAGGAGGAGCUGAGGACAGAGAACAGGUAGAGGAGGAGCUGAGGACAGAGAACAGGUAGAGGUAGAGGAGGAGCUGAGGACAGAGAACAGGUAAGGAGGAGCUGAGGACAGAGAACAGGUAGAGGAGGAGCUGAGGACAGAGAACAUGUAGAGGAGGAGAUGAGGACAGAGAACAGGUAGAGGAGGAGCUGAGGACAGAGGACAGGUAGAGGAGGAGCUGAGGACAGAGGACAGGUAGAAGAGUGGAUUAGCUGAGGACAGAGGACAGGUAGAAGAGUGGAGGAGCUGAGGACAGAGGACAGGUAGAGGAGGAGCUGAGGACAGAGAACAGGUAGAGGAGGAGCUGAGGACAGAGGACAGGUAGAGGAGGAGCUGAGGGCAGAGAACAGGUAGAGGAGGAGCUGAGGACAGAGAACAGGUAGAGGAGGAGCUGAGGACAGAGAACAGGUAGAGGAGGAGCUGAGGACAGAGGACAGGUAGAACAGUGGAGGAGCUGAGGAGAGAGAACAGGUAGAGGAGGAGCUGAGGACAGAGAACAGGUAGAGGAGGAGCUGAGGACAGAGGACAGGUAGAGGAGGAGCUGAGGACAGAGAACAGGUAGAGGUAGAGGAGGAGCUGAGGACAGAGAACAGGUAGAGGAGGAGCUGAGGACAGAGAACAGGUAGAGGAGGAGAUGAGGACAGAGGACAGGUAGAAGAGUGGAGGAGCUGAGGACAGAGAACAGGUAGAAGAGUGGAGGAGCUGAGGACAGAGAACAGGUAGAGGUAGAGGAGGAGCUGAGGACAGAGAACAGGUAGAGGAGGAGCUGAGGACAGAGGACAGGUAGAGGUAGAGGAGGAGCGGUAGCUGAGGACAGAGAACAGGUCGAGGAGGAGCUGAGGACAGAGAACAGGUAGAGGAGGAGCUGAGGACAGAGGACAGGUAGAGGAGGAGCUGAGGACAGAGGACAGGUAGAGGAGGAGCUGAGGACAGAGAACAGGUAGAGGAGGAGCUGAGGACAGAGGACAGGUAGAGGAGGAGCUGAGGACAGAGGACAGGUAGAGGAGGAGCUGAGGACAGAGAACAGGUAGAGAAGGAGCUGAGGACAGAGGACAGGUAGAGGAGGAGCUGAGGACAGAGAACAGGUAGAGGUAGAGCUGAGGACAGAGGACAGGUAGAAGGGUGGAGGAGCUGAGGACAGAGAACAGGUAGAUGAGGAGCUGAGGACAGAGGACAGGUAGAGGAGGAGCUGAGGACAGAGAACAGGUAGAGGUAGAGCUGAGGACAGAGAACAGGUAGAGGUAGAGCUGAGGACAGAGAACAGGUAGAGGAGGAGCUGAGGACAGAGAACAGGUAGAGGAGGAGCUGAGGACAGAGAACAGGUAGAAGGAGGAGCUGAGGACAGAGAACAGGUAGAGGAGGAGCUGAGGACAGAGAACAGGUAGAGGAGGAGCUGAGGACAGAGAACAGGUAGAGGAGGAGCUGAGGACAGAGAACAGGUAGAGGAGGAGCUGAGGACAGAGAACAGGUAGAAGAGUGGAGGAGCUGAGGACAGAGAACAGGUAGAGGAGGAGCUGAGGACAGAGAACAGGUAGAGGAGGAGCUGAGGACAGAGAACAGGUAGAGGUAGAGGAGGAGCGGUAGCUGAGGACAGAGAACAGGUAGAGGAGGAGCUGAGGACAGAGAACAGGUAGAGGAGGAGCUGAGGACAGAGGACAGGUAGAAGAGUGGAGGAGCUGAGGACAGAGAACAGGUAGAGGAGGAGCUGAGGACAGAGAACAGGUAGAGGAGGAGCUGAGGACAGAGAACAGGUAGAGGAGGAGCUGAGGACAGAGAGCAGGUAGAGGAGGAGCUGAGGACAGAGAACAGGUAGAGGAGGAGCUGAGGACAGAGAACAGGUAGAGGAGGAGCUGAGGACAGAGAGCAGGUAGAGGAGGAGCUGAGGACAGAGAUCAGGUACAGGAGUAGAGGUUAGGCUGCCGUGGUAACUAAAGCAUUACACAAAGUGUCUUGUUGGUUUCUGACCAGUGUUUGUUUUUGUUUGUUUCCUCUUAGAAGGGAAUGUAGCGUUCUCUGUUACUUUGGGAGUUGGGGGUUACUAUGGUGGUUACUAUGGACCCACAUCCAAUACCCUGGUCUACAAGGACAUCCUGACAAACAUCGGCAAUCACUACAACCCAACUAAUGGUGAGUUACAAUGUAUGCUUUGCUGCAGUUUCUUACUCUUGAACUGAUCUGUGGAGAGUCUUCAACUGAACUAUCUAUAGAGAGUCUUCAACUGAAUUAUCUAUGGAGAGAGAUAGUUCAGUCUAUCUAUAGAGAGUCUUCAACUGAACUAUGUAUGGAGAGUCUUCAACUGAAUUAUCUAUAGAGAGUGUUCAACUGAAUUAUCUAUAGAGGGUCUUCAACUGAAUUAUCUAUAGAGGGUCUUCAACUGAAUUAUCUAUGGAGAGUCUUCAACUGAUUUAUCAAUAGAGAGUGUUCAGCUGAAUUAUCUAUAGAGAGUCUUCAACUGAAUUAUCUAUGGAGAGUCUUCAACUGAAUUAUCUAUAGAGAGUGUUCAGCUGAAUUAUCUAUAGAGAGUCUUCAACUGAACUAUGUAUGGAGACAGACUCACAUGUUUCAUCUCUUUCCCAGGUCACUUCACAGCCCCAGUGAGGGGAGUGUACUACUUC
rnacentral:lncRNA from 8 species